AUAAUGGGUCAGCGACUUAUAUUCUGUAGCAAGGUUAACCGAAUAGGGGAGCCGAAGGGAAACCGAGUCUUAACUGGGCGUUAAGUUGCAGGGUAUAGACCCGAAACCCGGUGAUCUAGCCAUGGGCAGGUUGAAGGUUGGGUAACACUAACUGGAGGACCGAACCGACUAAUGUUGAAAAAUUAGCGGAUGACUUGUGGCUGGGGGUGAAAGGCCAAUCAAACCGGGAGAUAGCUGGUUCUCCCCGAAAGCUAUUUAGGUAGCGCCUCGUGAAUUCAUCUCCGGGGGUAGAGCACUGUUUCGGCAAGGGGGUCAUCCCGACUUACCAACCCGAUGCAAACUGCGAAUACCGGAGAAUGUUAUCACGGGAGACACACGGCGGGUGCUAACGUCCGUCGUGAAGAGGGAAACAACCCAGACCGCCAGCUAAGGUCCCAAAGUCAUGGUUAAGUGGGAAACGAUGUGGGAAGGCCCAGACAGCCAGGAUGUUGGCUUAGAAGCAGCCAUCAUUUAAAGAAAGCGUAAUAGCUCACUGGUCGAGUCGGCCUGCGCGGAAGAUGUAACGGGGCUAAACCAUGCACCGAAGCUGCGGCAGCGACGCUGAUGCGUUGUUGGGUAGGGGAGCGUUCUGUAAGCCUGCGAAGGUGUGCUGUGAGGCAUGCUGGAGGUAUCAGAAGUGCGAAUGCUGACAUAAGUAACGAUAAAGCGGGUGAAAAGCCCGCUCGCCGGAAGACCAAGGGUUCCUGUCCAACGUUAAUCGGGGCAGGGUGAGUCGACCCCUAAGGCGAGGCCGAAAGGCGUAGUCGAUGGGAAACAGGUUAAUAUUCCUGUACUUGGUGUUACUGCGAAGGGGGGACGGAGAAGGCUAUGUUGGCCGGGCGACGGUUGUCCCGGUUUAAGCGUGUAGGCUGGUUUUCCAGGCAAAUCCGGAAAAUCAAGGCUGAGGCGUGAUGACGAGGCACUACGGUGCUGAAGCAACAAAUGCCCUGCUUCCAGGAAAAGCCUCUAAGCAUCAGGUAACAUCAAAUCGUACCCCAAACCGACACAGGUGGUCAGGUAGAGAAUACCAAGGCGCUUGAGAGAACUCGGGUGAAGGAACUAGGCAAAAUGGUGCCGUAACUUCGGGAGAAGGCACGCUGAUAUGUAGGUGAAGUCCCUCGCGGAUGGAGCUGAAAUCAGUCGAAGAUACCAGCUGGCUGCAACUGUUUAUUAAAAACACAGCACUGUGCAAACACGAAAGUGGACGUAUACGGUGUGACGCCUGCCCGGUGCCGGAAGGUUAAUUGAUGGGGUCAGCGCAAGCGAAGCUCUUGAUCGAAGCCCCGGUAAACGGCGGCCGUAACUAUAACGGUCCUA
rnacentral:rRNA from 1 species